AGAUUGAACGCUGGCGGCAUGCCUUACACAUGCAAGUCGAACGGUAACGCGGGGCAACCUGGCGACGAGUGGCGAACGGGUGAGUAAUGCAUCGGAACGUGCCCAAUAGUGGGGGAUAGCUCGGCGAAAGCCGGAUUAAUACCGCAUACGACCUACGGGUGAAAGCGGGGGAUCGCAAGACCUCGCGCUAAUGGAGCGGCCGAUGUCAGAUUAGGUUGUUGGUGGGUAAAAGCCUACCAAGCCGACGAUCUGUAGCUGGCCUGAGAGGACGACCAGCCACACUGGGACUGAGACACGGCCAGACCUCCGACGGGAGCAGCAGUGGGAAUUUGGACAAGUGGGGCAACCUGAUCCAGCCAUGCCGCGUAGCGGAAGAAGGUCCGUUCGGUUGUAACGUCUUUGUCGAGGAAGAACGCUACCGAAGACUAAC
rnacentral:rRNA from 1 species